UCGCUGUGAUGACUCCUUAGGACACCUUUAGAUGAACCAUGAAAACAGCUACGCUACAAAUCUGAGCCAC
ensembl:snoRNA SNORD58 Small nucleolar RNA SNORD58